UGACGAUGUGCGCAGUGCCAGAG
rnacentral:misc_RNA from 1 species